rnacentral:rRNA from 1 species
GGGCCAACUCCCUCGUCCAAUUCUAAUCUGGGGUGAGUCAUCUCAAAAGAAAAAGAAUCAGGGGCGGAGUAGAUGAGGGGUGUGUGCGCCGAGCGGCGGUUGGGCUCCGGCGUCGUGGAACGCAGCGGGCCGAGCCGUCGUGCUGCGACGUUGGUGGUACUUGGCGUCAGGGCUUCUUCAUGAUACGGGGGCAUCUCCCGUGUGGACGGCGCCUCGUCGGCCGAGUCGCCGGCGACGAAUACUCGGCCAAAGAUGGGCCCACUCCAUGAACCAGGUGCUGGCGGCGUCCUCGGCUGGACGGCGAGCUGGUCGUGGUUGGGCGGCGCAGGAGUCGUGUCUGCUGCUUGAAGAGGUACUUUGACGCUCUCCGAUAGAUGACCCAGCCCCAGCGAUUUGCUUCAAGAUCCAGCUCUAUCUGUUUGAUUCAUUUUUACGAGAGUUUUGUUUGAUUCCUUCAUCCCUACAACUUCUGCAUAGAUUGCUUUGUUACGCCCGACUACUCGACUAGAAGGAGAUCCUUGCAGGCUCUCAGCGUAUCCCUCAAUCUAUUGCCAGAAUGUUUCCAGCGUAUCCCUAUUUC